GCUGCGAUCACUGUCUCCAGCCUGCUGAAGCUCAGAGGGCUCUGGUUCAGAAAGAUCAUCGGAUCCGUCUGAGCUUGGCUGGUCGGAAGUCUCCUCAUCUGCUUCCCUCGGGUU
rnacentral:pre_miRNA from 1 species